GUUAAGUCCUCCUUCCCAACAUGGCGCAGUCUAUUAACAUCACGGAGCUGAAUCUGCCGCAGCUAGAAAUGCUCAAGAACCAGCUGGACCAGGAAGUGGAGUUCUUGUCCACGUCCAUUGCCCAGCUCAAAGUGGUACAGACCAAGUAUGUGGAAGCCAAGGACUGUCUGAACGUGCUGAACAAGAGCAACGAGGGUAUGGGGUAGGCGGGUGAGGGUAACCUAAAGUGGCGAGCCAGUUUCUCUCGUCCCACCUCCUAACCCAGUUUUUCUUACCUGAAACGAGAAAAUCCAUUACAUUUCGCAUACUGCUUCAUGAACCCUUUGCAUGUUGCCUACCUAGAAUUGAAAUGUACAGGACAUUCCUCUGCUCCUAUUGCCCCUGUUUCCGUUCUUUUCACACUGUCUGUGGGUGCUGUGCCCUGUUGGAACUCUCUUUAACGUCUUACGUUGGAGCCGCUAACCUUCCCCAGGUGUUUGUCUUCAUUGCUUUCACAGGGAAAGAAUUACUCGUCCCACUGACGAGUUCUUUAUAGGUAUUGUUCUAAGGCCUCCAGAUUAUUCAGUCCUUAUGCCUUGUAGCUUUUUGGAAAAGGAGG
rnacentral:sRNA from 1 species